rnacentral:rRNA from 1 species
GAUGAACGCUGGCGGCGUGCCUAAUACAUGCAAGUCGAGCGAACGGACCCGACGCUUGCUUCUCUGAUGUUAGCGGCGGACGGGUGAGUAACGCGUGUAUCACCUACCUAUAUGUCUGGGAUAAUUUCGGGAAACCGGCGCUAAUACCGGAUGAUAUUUUGAACCGCAUUGUUCAAAAGUGAGAGACGGUCUUGCUGUCACUUCUAGCUGCAUCCGCGCUGCAUUGGCUAGUUGGUAAGGUAACGGCUUACCAAGGCAACGAUGCAUAGCCGAGCUGAGAGGGUGAUAGGCGACACGGGAACUGAGACACGGUCCAGACGCCUACGGGAGGCAGCAGUAGGGAAUCUUCCGCAAUGGGCGAAAGCCUGACGGAGCAACGCCGCGUGAGUGAUGAAGGUCUUCGGAUCGUAAAACUCUGUUAUUAGGGAAGAACAUAUGUGUAAGUAACUGUGCACAUCUUGACGGUACCUAAUCAGAAAGCCACGGCUAACUACGUG